GAUGAACGCUGGCGGCGUGCCUAAUACAUGCAAGUCGAGCGAACAGACGAGGAGCUUGCUCCUCUGACGUUGGCGGCGGACGGGUGAGUAACACGUGGAUAACCUACCUAUAAGACUGGGAUAACUUCGGGAAACCGGAGCUAAUACCGGAUAAUAUAUUGAACCUCAUGGUUCAAUAGUGAAAGACGGUUUUGCUGUCACUUAUAGAUUGAUCCGCGCCGCAUUAGCAAGUUGGUAAGGUAACGGCUUACCAAGGCAACGAUGCGUAGCCGACCUGAGAGGGUGAUCGGCCACACUGGAUCUGAGAAACAGUCCAGACUCCUGCGGUAGGCAGCAGUAGAGAAUCUUCCGCAAUGGGCGAGUGCCUGACGGAGCAACGCCGCGUGAAUGAUGAAGGUCUUCGGAUCGUAAAACUCUGUUAUUAGGGAAGAACAAAUGUGUAAGUAACUAUGCACGUCUUGACGGUACCUAAUCAGAAAGCCACGGCUAACUACGUG
rnacentral:rRNA from 1 species